AUGCUAAUUUUUAAAAUCUGGAUCGCUAGGAAUCUGCAGCUAUAUCAGAACAAGACUUCAGCGCCGCAAAAGCUUUCUGAGGAAGCUCUUGUAGGAGUGCUGCAAUUUAAUAGAUGGAAUCCUGAACUUCGUGUCAGUAGGAAGAUUCGGGUGCAGCCGGUCUUUGAGUUGAUAAAUAGGCUUUCCCAAGAAGUAAUUCAACCUGAGUAUCAAAGUAAGAAAAAAGAAAAAAUUAUUAAAGAAACCAAUGUAAAAUAUAGACAAAAUGUUUCCAUUAACCCUAUAACUGUAACAUGGUACCAAUGA